AAAAUUACGGGUAAAACGGAUGAAUACCCAUUAAGCAGUGGGCAUUUUGGGUAAUCCGUAGGUAUCCACGGGUACUCGCAUAUAUAUAUUUUAAUUAUAAAAUCUAUUUUCUUAAUUAAUAUAUAUUUUUUAUUUAUCCAUCCUAAAAAUUCUAAUUUUAAUUUCUUAUUACGUGCCUUUUAUAUUAUGAAUUUUUCUUUAAGACUUUAAAUAUUUUUAUUGUAUGUUAUGAUAUUUUAAACAAUGAGUUAUAUUAGGCUUUUAAAACUUAUAUAUAUGUGUUUUAUAUUUAAAAAAUAUAAGAGCAAAAAAAAAAUGCGGGUAACUCGUAUAAAGAUAUUAGUUAUUCAAAAAUUUGCGGGUAAAUUUUAUCCAUGCCCAAGUAACCCACGGAUACAGUAACCCGCCUGCGAGUUACCCAACCCGCCCGUGUCAGGUCUAGUCGGCUAAAUUGGACUGUCGCCCUCUGAACUUUCGGUGGGAUUUUACUUUACCCCCAAACUCAUAAAAUGCACAUCUAAUAUUUUAAACUCUAAUAUUUUAUUCAUUUGUCUCUUCUGUCGUAAUCGAAAAUUGACGGAAUGGAUAACAGUAAUAAAAUAUUAAAAUUUAAGAUAUUAGAUGUUUAUUUUAGAAGUUUAGGGUUAAGAUAAAUUUUUGUAAAAAGUUCGAAAAGUAAUAGUACAAUAUACCUUUUAUUAAAUUAUAAUUUUUUAUAUUUAGAAAAUUGAUGAAAAAUUAAAAAUAUUUUAGUACUUAUCUUGCGCUGGGGGGGGGGGGGGGGGGUCUCUAAAGUAGGGCAUGGCUACUUUACUGAGGGGCGCCCUACAAUUUUAACGCUCUUUCUUGGAUUUAGAUUUUAACCCCAGUCAAAUAACUAUUUAUUUCACAUUUUGUGUGUGUUUUUUAAAAGAGUGAUGCUUUUUGCAUGUGAGAUUAUUAAAAGAGUCCGGCUGCUAUGCUAUCGAUAGUAUUAAGUAUUUAAUGUUAUCAAGUUUUCUGUCGUUAGAUUAACCCCUUUGAUUAUUUUUAUCCGUUAGAUUAUACUAUUCAACCAACCACCUGCUCAAUUCUAGAGGGUCCACAUCAUUCUAACCGCAUGUCUUUUAAUCCAAUGGUGAAAAAUUUAAUAGCACUAAGUCAUUGAUGCUAUUAAUAGUAUUCCAGCCUAAUUCGAUUAUUAAUUUAUAAAAGUCAAUAUUUUUAUAUUAAUUAUAUUUUUAUUUGAAUAAUAUAAAUAAAAAAUUUAAACAUUUAAAUCGAUUGAUAUAAAAUUUAGGGAAAACUUCAAAAACCCCCCAUGUGGUUUCGUAUUUUUUCACUUUGCCCCCCUGUAGUUUAAAAUAUAUCAAAUUGCCCCCCUGUGGUUUCGUUUUUAUCUUUUCGGUAGCUUUUUCGUUAAUAUUUCAUUAAAUUAUAUACAAAAAACUUCAGAUACCUAUCUAGAUUUAUCAAAUAUUCACUUUAGUAUUCUUUAAUUUUAACUUUAUCACUGAUUUAAAAAAAAAUAAUAAGAUUAAUAAAAAAAAAGAGAAAAAAAAAUCACAGAGAGCAAAUUGAUAUAUUUUAAACCACAGGGGUAAAGUAAAAAAUUAUAAAAUCAUAGAGAGAAUUUUUAAAAUUUUCUCUAAAAUU
rnacentral:lncRNA from 1 species